GAAUGUGCCAGGGUCAAGUCUGUACUGAUUUUCAUGGUGAAUAGAUUACAUGCUUGCAUUCAUGUUCACUUCCGAAGCGCUUAGUGUCUUCCUUCCCUUUCUUACAUAUUAACCUCAAAUACCCUGUGAGGCUUCAG
rnacentral:sRNA from 1 species